rnacentral:other from 1 species
AUUUCUCUGAGAUGUUUGCAAGCGGGCCAGUCCCCUGAGCCGAUAUUUCAUACCACAAGAAUGUGGCGAUCCACGGUUGGUGAGCAUGCUCGGUCCGUCCGAGAAGCCUUAAAACUGUGACGACACAUUCACCUUGAACCAAGGGUUCAAGGGUUACAGCCUGCGGCGGCAUCUCGGAGAUUCC